AAGUGUUACUUUAACAUUUUCUGAUUGAAAUGUUUUUUAUGGUUGGAGUUAUUUCACUGUUCAUCAUGUCAGAGUUAGACCAACUCUGCAGAGACGUGAUUAAGCUCCGCCCCUGUAUUUCACCGCUUCGGUUGGAGACGAGUCCACGAUAAAUCAGCUCGAUUUUCUCUCCUCAUGCAGUUGACAGGGGCGGCUUAACAUCAGCGAGACCCCAACAAAACGUGUCUCAACAGGCAUACAGUGGCUCACUUGUUGAACUUGUCUAGUUGUCCUAAAAAUGUUGGUCCAGGUGAAGUACAGACAACAGCAGAAGUAUGUGAAAUUGGAUGCAGUUGAAGGACAGUUUGACUUUCUACAAUUCAAUGAAAAAGGUGGAUCAAGACUUCACCCUCUAUUUGAUCAUGAAACAUCCUCCAGGCUCCUUCAGAAAUGGGAUGUGUUCUUCAGUCCAAAUGUCAUAAGAGGCUAAGUGGCUUACUUCAACACCCAGGGCUGCGUCGCUUGUUGCAGAGAGUCCCACAGGAAGUGAUCUUGAUGAGACAACAAUCAUGCUGCAGUUUGGAGGAGCAUCUCCGCAAUCGCUAUUGGGCGUCAGAAGAGCAAGCUUGACAGCUUCUACAUCACCAUGGAUAAGCAUCUCAUCCCACGGCAGGCAAACCUUGGGGCUUUCGACAAACUUUCCAAAACACAUUUUGUAUUUAAUUUGUCGUACGAUGCUGCGUUACUGAAUUUUUACACAUUCUUGCAGACAACAGUGUAUAACAUUGAUGUGGGGAAAAUGAAGGAGUCACCCAGAGUCAGAGACUUGAGAGCCAGACUGCUUGACCAGCUAGUACCGGUCUCACUCUCUGAGAAAGAGGCUAAAACAAUACUGACUGGUUUCAUGUGUCAGAAUUUGUAUCCCAGCAGCCAGAAGUUGAUGGUGUUAUACUGGAACCGUUGAUACAUGAUAUAAAAUUACUGAAAACCCAAGGCCUUAGUCUUAGUAGUCUUAGUAGUGUUUGAUUAAGAGGAAUUCUCAAACGGUAUACAGUGAGGAAGAUCCCAAACUGAUCCUUCGUGGAAAAUAUGUUUGAUAUGCAUUACAAGUGUCUCCAAGACAACCCACAAUUGAUCAAUUUAUUUUUAGAAUGAAAGAAACGUCCCACAAAGAUAAUUUUUGACAGUAAUGACAAUUUCAUUGGUUUGAAUUCUAUUCAGACAUUGUGUCUUGUGAAAAACAUCCCACUGUUUGGUGACAUCAUUCCUGCAGGAAACGAAAACUGGAAUGUGUUACUGUUGUUACUUAAAAUAAUGAACAGGGUUGUGUUACUUUUUCUCAGUCUAGGUACGACAAUAUAUUUAAAGCAUUUGAUUGUUGACCACCACAAACUAUUUAAGCAUUUGUAUCCACAUAGAAACUUGCUACUUAAGCAUCAUUUUAUGACCCACUGUAUAUGUGGUCUAUGAGGUGUGAAGCCAAAGACAAGAUGUUUAAAGAUUAUUUCAAAAACAUAACAAAAUCACUUGCUAAAAAGCAUCAGAUGGUUAUUGCUUAUCACUGGGAAACCUUCACCCUCAAAUAAAGAGUGUGGACCAAUUAAGACUUAUUCCCUCAGAGAUGUGAAUGUGGUCAACAAUGAAAUGCUUGAAAUGAUUUUGUCAAAAGAUGUUUUCUCAACUAGUGGUUAAAGUUGAUGGUGUGUAGAAUACACAUGUGGACUUGUUUGUCUUUUGUCAAAUAUGUGAUAUACUUUUGGUUGAAGGUAACACAUUUUGUUUAUUAACAAGCUAUUCACCGAGAGUUCUUUUGAUGACCAUCAUCGUGCAUUUCGAGUGUUACAAAGUGAGGAAAGGUUCAUAAUAAAAAUGUCUGAGCUUAAAUUCCAUAAGCCAUUUGAUAUUCAAAGCUCAUACAAUGUUUCAGAUGAAAGUUUGUACAUUAUACCAUGAAAAUGGCUUUGUUUAUUGGAAUCAAUGAAUAUAUUAUUUAAUAACAU